rnacentral:tRNA from 1 species
GGGCGCGUAGCUCAGUGGGAGAGCACUCGCUUCACAUGCGAGUGGCCGCAGGUUCGACCCCUGUCGCGCCCA